CGCUCUCUGGGGUGUACGAGUAAAGGGUCGGGUAACCCCUUGAUCCUAUUUAAUUCUACCCAGGGUGAUAGUCGUCGGCGUUGUGUGCAUGUCCGCCUUGUAGCGGGAAGCCUGAUUCGCCGCUCUGUUCCCCGCUUUGAGCCCGCGCGGUUCAAGGGCAAUGGCCCAAAACGGCAUCAGCGGAGAGCGC
rnacentral:other from 2 species